rnacentral:rRNA from 1 species
AUGUCGUCCUUCGCCGUCCCCAUUACCACCGGCCUAAACUACAACACCUCCGAGCCUCUCUCCCAGACGAACUAUGUUCUCUGGAGAGCUCAAGCACGAUCCCAGAUAAUGGGCGCCGGCUUGUAUGGCUAUAUAGAUCAAACCCUAGAGGAGCCUCCCAAAACCAUUACCAUCAAAGACAAAGAUGGCAAGGACCAGGUGAUUGCAAACCCUGCUUAUGCUCCCUGGUUGAUCCAGGAUCAACAGAUCGUCGCCUAUCUCCUCCGCAACCUGUCCAAAGGAGUUCUUGUCCAAGUUCCAUCGCUUGAAUCAUCACAUGCGGUUUGGGCUGCACUCGCGGCCAUGUUCUCUGCCGUCUCUUUAUCACGCGUCAACAACAUCCGAUAUGCGCUAACCAACGCAUAG